UGGAGCAGUCCGGCUCUUUUCUUGCGGCGCUGCGCGCCCCGGCCGUUUAAGCCUCAUGCCGUAACCCUUCCGUCCGGCUGCCCCGUUGAAGUUACAACAAACUGGCGAUGAGGUAAACCGCUCACUUUACGUUUACGGCCCCUUGCCUUUCGAUUUCUGCUGCUCCCCUCCUUCAGGCAUGCAAGACGCUACGUCCACUUCGGCGACGUCCACCGCAACGCCCCCGCCUUUGUUCUCCGUGCCCAGCAUGGCGUUCGCACCACCCAUGCCGCCUUUCCUUGCAUUACCCGGUACUCCUUCGGUACCGUGGCUCACAUGGAAACGUUCUUUUUUCACGUUUCUUCAGGCGACCGGAUGCGAAGCAUUACAAGAUGACAGGAAGAAGGCCAUUUUACUGAGCAACUUAGGCUUCGAGGGGCAGCGUCUAUACUAUGACCUCGCGUCGCAAGCGGACCAGACGGCCGCUACGAAAGCUCAAAUGCCCUGGUGCACCGCAUUAUCUUCCGGGACAGGAAGCAACUACCCGGGGAAACCUUCCAGGACUUCGUCACCGCGCUACAAAGGCCAGCGCCUGCUUGCGCGUUCGGAGCUUGGCACGACGAGUCUCUUCGCGACCAAAUUCUCCAAGGCGUUGCAUCAAAAAGAAUUCGAGAACGGCUACUGUACGAAGGAUCGUCCCUCACGCUCAAGAAAGCCGAGGAAAUCGGACGAAGCGUGGAGCAAGUUGACAAGGAACUUGCAGUCUUCAGCACCUCGUCUAUUCAGCGCGUCUCGACGCAACGCCAAGAUGGCGUCGCCGGCCAUCUCCUUCCUCGCCCGGGCGCGCAAGAUGGCGGUCACCGCCCCCCUUCUUUCUCGACCCGGCGUCUUCAAGAUGGCGAUCAACGGCGUGGCGGGCAGUCGCAUCGAGCGGCCGGCCAACAUGACGUCCGGCCCGAACUCUGCGAAGCCACUGGAGAACUCGCACCCCAAUUUUACCGAUGUGGUUCACCUCGCCACAUCGCAUCCGAUCCAGCCUGUCCGGCAAAGCACGUUACCUGCCGUGCGUGCGGAAAAGCGGGACAUUACGCUUCGGUUUGCCGUUCGAGGAACCGAACGCAGCGACAGCCUCCUGCUCGAACGCAGCUUGUUUCCGUUACUGCUGAUGCAGAAUCAGCCUCUACAGUCCCGUUUGUGCUUACCACUCAAGCACCGAAUAUCCAACCGGCAACAAUUCGCGCCGAAGUUCUCAUUGCGAAUACUAGACUCAACUUGCUCGCGGACACAGGAGCUACAGUGUCGCUGAUGAACAGCUCCCUAUACGAAGAACAUUUCAAGGUUUUUCCUUUAUCUCCUUCGAGUCUUCGACUCAAGAAUUAUUCGCAGCAAGAAAUUCUGCAUUCAGGACGCUUCUCCGUGCUCGUCAAGUAUCGCAACAACGCUGCAGUAGUGACAUUUCACGUCAUGAACCAAGGCACUUUUCUUCUGGGCUUAGAUGCCAUUCAAGCUUUGGGCAUUGACAUUCAAGGGUCUUCGCUCACAUGUCAAGUAUCGGGACUUCCAGCUGACCCAAGCGUUCAGCCUCCGUCUCUCCCGCACAACGCUCCAACAGAGUUCGCCCAUCUGUUCUCGGGACAAUUGGGACUUGUCAAGGGCUUCGUCCACGACGUUCGUCUCCGACCUUCAGUGCAGCCAGCCUCGGCGAAACUGCGUCCUCUACCUCUGGUUCUCCGAGAGCAAGUCUCUGCCAAGCUGCAACGCUUGGAAUCAGCUGAUGUCAUCGAACGAGUCACUGCGUCCGAGUGGAUUUCUCCGCUCAUCGUCGUUCGAUAGAAGGACAAUUCCAUUCGACUUUGCGUCGAUCUUCGAGACCCCAACAAGGCUAUCAUCAUUGGCGCCUUUCCACUACCGAGGGCUGACGAACUGUUGCAUCGACUCGCUGGUGCUACUGUCUUUAUUCCUACUGGUACUCAUCUUCCUGCUGCAACCCCUUCUUUGCAACCACCUGUCUCACCACCACCACCUCCGGGUUCACCCCGUGCAGAACAGUCUCCUGAACGUCCAUGCGACACUCCUCCCCAAGACGCUGCCCCUGAAGGCACUCAGGUCUCUGACACACCUUCCAGUCCCAGUACGAGUAACACUUCUGCUGUUCCUCCUCCACAACCUGAACCAGUCCUCCGUAGGUCUACACGCCAUAGACAACAUCGGGAACGAUUUAAGGAUUAUGUUUCCAAGUAGCUUGUUGCCUUAGGUUACUGUCUACAGAGGUUUCAACCCUCCCAUGCGAAUUCGGCUCUUAAUGGCAAAAGUAUUUCCUUUCAUGUUUGUUAGUUGAAUAAGACAAGCAGUAUCCUGCAAAUGGGAGGAUUUCUGGCAGCAUAAACGGUGCUAUACGCACGCUGUACUUACUGCUAUACUGCAGAUUUAUCAGUGGAUCCUAGUUGUAGGAACACCUUUCUUCAUUUCUUAGCAUCCCCGCAGAAGGGAUACCAUACAUUUCUUAUAUGUUACGUUUCUUGCAGCAUACAUGUAAGCAUUUUCACUACGGUAGUAGCCGCCAUACUAAUUUGUCCUUUAUGCCAAAAAGAAAAAAAGUUUUUCGUUAGCAUUCUUAAGGGGGGGGCACUAAGGAGUGUUAAUUGCUUUUACGCACAAUGCCAAUCCACGACAGCCACAGCGACUGUGUCGACUCAGGCUCAGGGCGAAUGAGCCACCCAUCAGUGCUGUCCCAGGGGGCACACAGAUGGUUGUUAAUGUACACUUAUGUACUUUGUGAAUUUUCUGUGUUAUCCGUGUGUGCAAGGCUGCAUCUCAUCGUCCUCCCAAGACGGGUACUGGAACUGCAGAUCUGGACUGCAAUAACUCAUAUUCAGUAUUCAUGUACGUUUUUUUUUUAAAUGGGGAAGCCAGAGAUCAUUUUCUAUUGUAUAAACAUGUAUCACUAAUCAUGUGUGUAACAGCACUAACAUGUGUUCUUUGACUCGUGACUAAUUUUUGUUGUGAGGAGAGCGAGUGGAUCAUUUUUUUUCCUUUCAAGGGAGAGGUGAUGUGGUAUCCGUAACUUCUGGUUUCGGUUUUGGGUUUUUACAUCAGGGCGCCACUCAGCGCCAAACGCUGUAAGUGCUUCCUGUAAGUUGCCUCCUCAGAAAUAAAGAUUCCAUUCUUUGUCUGGUCCCCAA